AAAAAUAAAGAAAAUGUUGAAAGUUUUUCGUUUUCGCUCCGUAAAUCCUCCAAUACACUGAAAACACAUCAUUUGUUUGAAUACAUAUCAUUUGUUUUGUUUGGCUUGUACUAU
rnacentral:sRNA from 1 species